CCGAGGAUCUUCGGCAAUGGGCGCAAGCCUGACCGAGCGACGCCGCGUGCGAGAUGAAGGCCUUCGGGUUGUAAAUCGCUGUCAGAGGGGAGGAAAUGCCGGUGGGUUCUCCCACCGGUUUGACCUAUCCUCAGAGGAAGGACGGGCUAAGUUCGUGCCAGCAGCCGCGGUAAGGCGAACCGUCCAAACGUUAUUCGGAAUCACUGGGCUUAAAGGGUGCGUAGGCGGUCCGGGAAGUUGGGUGUGAAAGCCCUCGGCUCAACCGAGGAAUUGCGCCCAAAACUGCCGGGCUUGAGGGAGACAUAGGUGAGCGGAACUUAGGGUGGAGCGGUGAAAUGCGUUGAGAUCCUAAGGAACACCGGUAGCGAAAGCGGCUCACUGGGUCUCUUCUGACGCUGAAGCACGAAAGCUAGGGGAGCGAAGAGG
rnacentral:rRNA from 1 species